AAUGUAAUGCAUACAACGUUAAUGCAUUGGAUCCCAUUAGAACUCUAUAGUUAAGUGUGCUUGGGCUAGAGUAGUACUGGGAUGGGUGAUCUAUCAGGAAGUCCUAGUGUUUUACAUGC
rnacentral:rRNA from 1 species